GUGCUCGCUUCAGUAGCACAUAUACUAAAAUUGGAAUGGUACAGAGAAGAUUAGCAUGGCCUGUGCAAAGAUGACACAGAAAUUCGUGAGGUGUUCCAUGUUUUU
ensembl:snRNA U6 U6 spliceosomal RNA